rnacentral:rRNA from 1 species
UUGCAGUUAAAAAGCUCGUAGUUGGAUUUCUGCGGGGGCGGGGCGGCCGACAACAACUCGUUGUUCGAGCUAGCACUUCCCCUGCAUCCUGCCGCGAACCGUGCUACCAUUAGUUUGGUGGCGCUGGGGAUCGGCUCGUUUACUUUGAGAAAAAUAGAGUGUUCAAAGCAGGCCACACGCCUUGAAUAAGUUAGCAUGGAAUAAUGAUAAAGGACUUCGGUUCUAUUUUGUUGGUGUUCGGGACUGAAGUAAUGAUUGAUAGGGACAGUUGGGGCGGUCAGUAUUCCAUAGCGAGAGGUGAAAUUCUUAGACCUUCGGAAGACUAACAGCUGCGAAAGCGUUCCGCAAGGAUGUUCCCUUUGAUCAAGAACGAAAGUUGGGGGAUCGAAGACGAUCAGAUACCGUCGUAGUCUCAACUAUAAACUAUACCAGCUAGGGAUCGGCCAACGUUAUUUAAUACCGACUUGGUCGGCACCUUAUGAGAAAUCAAAGCAUCUGGGUUCCGGGGGGAGUAUGGUCGCAAGGCUGAAACUUAAAGGAAUUGACGGAAGGGCACCACCAGCCGUGGAGCCUGUGGCUUAAUUUGACUCAACACGGGAAAACUUACCAGGUCCAGACAUAGUAAGGAUUGACAGAUUGAUAGCUCUUUCU